UACGAAGGGGGCGAGCGUUGUUCGGAUUUACUGGGCGUAAAGGGCGCGCAGGCGGCUCAUUUUGUCAGGCGUGAAAAUCCAGGGCUUAACCCUGGACCUGCAUCGGGUACGGGCAGACUAGAGUGCGGUAGGGGAGAUCGGAAUUCCUGGUGUAGCGGUGAAAUGCGCAGAUAUCAGGAGGAACACCGAUGGCGAAGGCAGGUCUCUGGGCCGAUACUGACGCUGAGGAGCGAAAGCGUGGGGAGCGAACAGG
rnacentral:rRNA from 1 species